GUCGCUAGCUGUAAUCCACAAUUGGGGAAUUUCUAUCAGUCCAAUUACAAGAUUGUGGUUGGAAAUGGAUCUCGAAUUAGAUUUUGGGUUGAUAAGUGGGUUGGUGAUCAGUGUUUGAAUGCUACGUUUCCAAGACUCUAUUUGCUGUCGGUUGAGAAGGAAGUUUUUCUUCGUCUGCUUGUGGAAAGGAAAGGUUCUUCGGAAGAUUGGUUGCUGGUUUUCAGAAGACCAUUAAGAGCUUGGGAGGUAGCUGAGGUUGGAAGGCUUAUUAAACGCAGCCAGGAUUUCAGUGGCUGAGGCUGAUGACUGUUUAAGAUGGAUUGCAUCCCCUGUAGGUAAGUUCAGUAUUGCUUCCAUUUAUAAUAGAAAUAAGGGAGAAGUUUUGUCUAUUGUUCCAUCACUGCUAUGGAACAAUCUCUCUCCGCCUAAAAUGCAAUUCUUUGGAUGAUUGGCAUAGAAGGGUAAGGUUAAAACAGUGGACUAUCUUCAAAGAAUUGGUGUGCUCAGUGGGAGUGUUCGCAACAUGUGUGUUUUCUGCAAUACUGAUAUUGAGUCGGUUGAUCAUGUGCUCUUGUUGUGUUCGCCUAUUUGGAAGGUGUGGUCGAGUCUAGUGGAUUGGUUGGGUGUUCAAUGGGUGGUGUCUGGGUCAGUUGACGGGCUUCUUAAAUGGUGGGUUGGGUUUAAAUUUAAGAAGUUUGAGUGGUCUGUAUGGAAAGCUAUUCCGAUGGCUUUGCUAUAGUCCAUUUGGAAUUGUAGAAAUAAAUAUGUUUUUUCAGGUAUACAACCUAAGCCGGAAGUGCUUAGUAUGCAGGUUUCCUGCAGUACGAGGGGUGUGGUAUCCUGAGUUUUUUUUGUUGUAGGAGCUGCUGCAAAGGUGGUUGGGUGUGCUGGUGCUGUUCAUCUGCUUAAUGUUUGAAUAUAUGGCAGUAUGCAUGGUGGCUGGGUUUGGGUAGAAGGCUAUAGGAGGAUGCUCUCAGUUCUAGGUGGUAGGGUGGGUUGGUGGCUCUGUUUGGCACUAUUAUUGGGAGUGGGUUGGGAGUUUUUUUUAUAAUAUUGGGGUUGCUGCUUUGGUUUUGUAAGUUUACUUUUAUUUGUUUUGUUUCCUCUCUUGUUCCGUUGAUCCUCAUCGACCUGUGAUGGUGUGUUAGCAUAUGAUUGUGCGUCAUUCUCGGUACCAAUUUAAUUAGGAUCAUUUAAGCCGCUUUGAUACUCUUUGCACUCAUCCGUUUGCUUUUGAUCUACUCUGUUGAUUCAUCAAUAAAGCUUUUUCUUUCUGCUAAA